CUACGGGACGCUCCAGUGGGGAAUAUUGCACAAUGGGCGCAAGCCUGAUGCAGCCAUGCCGCGUGUAUGAAGAAGGCCUUCGGGUUGUAAAGUACUUUCAGUAGGGAGGAAGGUGGUUAAGUUAAUACCUUAAUCAUUUGACGUUACCUACAGAAGAAGCACCGGCUAACUCCGUGCCAGCAGCCGCGGUAAUACGGAGGGUGCAAGCGUUAAUCGGAAUUACUGGGCGUAAAGCGCAUGCAGGUGGUUUGUUAAGUCAGAUGUGAAAGCCCUGGGCUCAACCUAGGAAUCGCAUUUGAAACUGACAAGCUAGAGUACUGUAGAGGGGGGUAGAAUUUCAGGUGUAGCGGUGAAAUGCGUAGAGAUCUGAAGGAAUACCGGUGGCGAAGGCGGCCCCCUGGACAGAUACUGACACUCAGAUGCGAAAGCGUGGGGAGCAAACAGGAUUAGAUACCCUAGUAGUC
rnacentral:rRNA from 1 species